GGAGAGCUGGCCGAGUGGUCGAAGGCGCACGCCUGGAAAGCGUGUAUACGGCAACGUAUCGAGGGUUCGAAUCCCUCGUUCUCCGCCA
rnacentral:tRNA from 2 species